rnacentral:rRNA from 1 species
GUCUUUUUGAUUAUAAUUUAAAGUCUAACCUGCCCAAUGAUUAAAAAUUAAAUGGCCGCAGUAUUUUGACUGUGCAAAGGUAGCAUAAUCAUUAGUUUUUUAAUUGAAAGCUUGUAUGAAGGGUUGAAUGAAAAAAUAGCUGUCUCUGUUUAAAUUUAUUAGAAUUUUAUUUUUAAGUAAAAAAGCUUAAAUAUUUAUAAAAGACGAGAAGACCCUAUAGAGUUUUAUAUAUUUAUAUAUUAUAAUUUUUAGUAUUUUUAAUUAUAAAGAUGUAGAUAUAUUUGAUUGGGGUGAUUUAAAAAUUAAAAAAACUUUUUAUUGAAUAAAACAUUAAUUUAUGAUUAAAUGAUCCUUUGAUUAAGAUUAAAAGAAUAAAUUACCUUAGGGAUAACAGCGUAAUUUUUUUUUAGAGUUCUUAUUGAAAGAAAAGAUUGCGACCUCGAUGUUGGAUUAAAAUAUUUAUUUGGUGUARAAGCUAAAUUUAUAGGUCUGUUCGACCUUUAAAAUUUUACAUGAUCUGAGUUUAAACCGGUGUGAGCCAGGUCGG